rnacentral:rRNA from 1 species
UGGGGAAUAUUGCACAAUGGGCGCAAGCCUGAUGCAGCCAUGCCGCGUGUGUGAAGAAGGCCUCGGGUUGUAAAGCACUUUCAGCGAGGAGGAAGGUGGUGAGCUUAAUACGCUCAUCAAUUGACGUUACUCGCAGAAGAAGCACCGGCUAACUCCGUGCCAGCAGCCGCGGUAAUACGGAGGGUGCAAGCGUAAUCGGAAUUACUGGGCGUAAAGCGCACGCAGGCGGUUUGUUAAGUCAGAUGUGAAAUCCCCGGGCUCAACCUGGGAACUGCAUUGAAACUGGCAAGCUAGAGUCUCGUAGAGGGGGGUAGAAUUCCAGGUGUAGCGGUGAAAUGCGUAGAGAUCUGGAGGAAUACCGGUGGCGAAGGCGGCCCCCUGGACGAAGACUGACGCUCAGGUGCGAAAGCGUGGGGAGCAAACAGGAUUAGAUACCCUGGUAGUCCAGCGCUGUAAACGAUGUCGAUUUUGGAGGUUGUGCCCUUGAGGCGCGGCUUCCGGAGCUAACGCG